rnacentral:rRNA from 1 species
UGGGGAAUAUUGCACAAUGGGCGCAAGCCUGAUGCAGCGACGCCGCGUGAGGGAUGACGGCCUUCGGGUUGUAAACCUCUUUCAGCAGGGAAGAAGCGCAAGUGACGGUACCUGCAGAAGAAGCACCGGCUAACUACGUG